GCCGGGCGUGGUGGCGCGUGCCUGCAGUCCCUGCUACUCAGGAGGCUGAGACAGGAGAAUUGCUUGAACCUGGGAGGUGGAGGUUGCAGUGAGCCGAGAUUAUGCCACUGCACUUCAGCCUGGGUGACAGAGCGAGACUCUGUCUCAA
rnacentral:SRP_RNA from 1 species